rnacentral:rRNA from 1 species
AUUGAACGCUGGCGGCAGGCCUAACACAUGCAAGUCGAACGAGCGGCGGACGGGUGAGUAAUGUCUGGGAAACUGCCUGAUGGAGGGGGAUAACUACUGGAAACGGUUGCUAAUACCGCAUACCAUCGGAUGUGCCCAGAUGGGAUUAGCUAGUAGGUGGGGUAAAGGCGCACCUAGGCGGCGAUCCCUAGCUGGUCUGAGCGGAUGACCAGCCACACUGAGACUGAGACACGGUCCAAACUGGUACGGGAGGCAGCAGUGGGGAAUAUUGCACAAUGGGCGCAAGCCUGAUGCAGCCAUGCCGCGUGUAUGAGAAAGGCCGUAGGGUUGUAAAGUACUUUCAGCGGGGAGGCGUUACCCGCAGAAGAAGCACCGGCUAACUCCGUGCCAGCCGCCGCGGUAAUAC